GUCUGCAUGCGCAGGAAUAGCUGGAGACGGCAUCAGGAGGCGACAGAAGAGGACCGCAAACAGAGGAAGCCAGAACCGCCGACAGAGGAUGAGGCUAGAGAUAUCUAACACACGGACAUCAACAAACGAAGGGGCAGACGAACAAGGUAAUACUGAUAACGAAUUAGACAGGAAUGAAGGUGGAUCUCUAAAUGCUUGCGGAAAUGCUGGCAAUAUUGUAAUGGCAGAAGAAAGAAAUGAUGAGUGUCAUCAAGGUUGGUUAAGCUAAAAGUUGGACUUAUGAAGAUCAAAGCUCUUGAACAGUGGCGUAACAAUCUAGAUUGCAUGUAUUUGUAGAGACAGAACAAACUGAAGCAGUGGCAGUUGGAAGAGUUCUUCAUGACAGCACAGGAUAUGUCUUCCACAGGAGCACAAGGCAGUCGGGCUAAGUUCGGCAGCAGGGGGUAAUCCUGGAGGUGGUGGUAGGCAAGAGCACCAUGAAGGAUCCGAACUAAAUGAAGCAGUUGCAACUGGAAGAGGUGUUCUCCGUAUCAACACGGGAUUUGCCUUCCCAGGGAUAACAAGUAAGUUAAAACAUCAAUUAUUGGGGAUAACCUAUGUCUGUACUAACAUGUUGCAUUCACUACUUGUGAUUGUUCCAAACAGUCAGGGAAGUCGGUGAAGGUUCAGGAGUAGGUGCUAAUUGUGGAGAUGUUGGGCAUGAGAUGAACACACUGUCUCGAGACGCUGGUCAUGAAGGACUAGAGCAAGUGCCCGUAGGCAUAGGUGUUCUUCGUAGAAGCACGGGAUAUGCAUUCCCAAGGAUUACUGGUGAGACGAUGCAAACUCCUAAGGAUGAGUAAAAAAUGGGUCAUCGAUGACAUUACAUGUCUCCAUCAUUUGUUGAAUUUGCACAUGCAGUCAGGGCUGUAGGAGAAAACUCGGCAGCAGUGAAUACUACUGGAACUGAUCCACAUGGUACAGACUUAGAGCCAGCAAUCAAUCCAAGUUAGUUCACAGUUGGUUAGAAUACAUACAUACAUGUGUUAGUCUCAGAUGGGUGGUGCAGAUGAUGUUGUUCUACAGAGGGGUGUAGGAGUGGUUUCAGGCCGAAUGAAUAGAAACCUGAGGCUGCGUGUUGGCAUGGUGAGAAUCAUAGUGAAGAUGGAAAUGACUGAUAAGGGAGACAUAUUCCCCAGAAAAGCUGGUCUGAAGCAUGAAGAGCCCCUUGCAAAGAAUGUUGUAGAAUUCUGGGACAAAAUGUGCACGAGAAGCUCCAGGAAUCGCAGCAGGAAAUGGUACAAACACCGCGAGCCGUACCUGAUAGUGAUGUCAGGUGAGGACUUUGUUAACGAAUUUGGUCCUGGUGGUCAUGUAACAACAAUCGGUUGAACGGCUGUGUCAAGAAUGCUUGUGUACAAGGAUGAUAUGAUGUACGGUGAUUGGGAGAUCAGGUGGCGA